ensembl:lncRNA
GGCUGCUCUUCUCUGCUCUGUAUCUUACAGAAACCUCGCUCCAGCCACAGCUUUGAAGCAGAACUCAAAGCCGCAGUGAUGUUGAUGUCUCUGGGGAUGGGCACAAGGAGAUGUUGCUGCAGGAUGGGACCCACGCUGAUCAUGGCACUGAGCACAGUGCUGGCACCCUGCAUCCUCUGCCUGGGUCCUGUUUCCUUCUCAGCACCAGGAACUUAAAGCUAGGAGGAAAAACAUGCUGGAAAGCCGUUUAUUCUGAGAACAGGCUGAGAUCCAGCAGCUGCCUCCCUGCAUGCAGGAGGUCAUCUCUCAGAGGGACUGAGCACCUUCCACACCUUCACCCCACCCUGGUGAGGAGCAGACUGGGCCCCAGUGUUCUGCGAGAUGCUCUGUGCUUGGUGGACUGGGACGGGCAUCUUCAGUGAGAGCAGCCAGCUUCUGUCACUUGUGUCAGGAAGCUGGGCCAGAGCACGGUGAGUCGGUGAUUGCUCUGCUAACACCUCGU